UUAAGUGACUAAGCGUACAAGGUGGAUGCCUUGGCAAUCAGAGGCGAAGAAGGACGUGCUAAUCUGCGAAAAGCUUGGAUGAGUCGAUAAGAGGCGUUUAAUCCAAGAUAUCCGAAUGGGGAAACCCAGUAGAUGAAGAAUCUACUAUCAACAAGUGAAUACAUAGCUUGUUGAGGCAAACCGGGAGAACUGAAACAUCUAAGUACCCCGAGGAAAAGAAAUCAACCGAGAUUUCGUCAGUAGCGGCGAGCGAAAGCGAAAGAGCCAGUAAGUGAUAACAGUAUGGUUAGGAGAAUGUGUUGGGAAGCACAAUCAAAGAGGGUGAUAAUCCCGUAUCUAAAAACUAUAUUGUGGUACUAAGCUAACGAGAAGUAGGGCGGGACACGUGAUAUCCUGUUUGAAGAAGGGGGGACCAUCCUCCAAGGCUAAAUACUCCUGAUUGACCGAUAGUGAACCAGUACUGUGAAGGAAAGGCGAAAAGAACCCCGGUGAGGGGAGUGAAAUAGAACCUGAAACCUUGUACGUACAAGCAGUGGGAGCCCGAAAGGGUGACUGCGUACCUUUUGUAUAAUGGGUCAGCGACUUAUAUUUUGUAGCGAGGUUAACCGAAUAGGGGAGCCGAAGGGAAACCGAGUCUUAACUGGGCGACUAGUUGCAAGGUAUAGACCCGAAACCCGGUGAUCUAGCCAUGGGCAGGUUGAAGGUUGGGUAACACUAACUGGAGGACCGAACCGACUAAUGUUGAAAAAUUAGCGGAUGACUUGUGGCUGGGGGUGAAAGGCCAAUCAAACCGGGAGAUAGCUGGUUCUCCCCGAAAUCUAUUUAGGUAGAGCCUUGAGGUGACACCUUUGGGGGUAGAGCACUGUUUCGGCUAGGGGUCCAUCCCGGAUUACCAACCCGAUGCAAACUACGAAUACCAAAGAGUGAUACUCAGGAGACACACGGCGGGUGCUAACGUCCGUCGUGGAGAGGGAAACAACCCAGACCGCCAGCUAAGGUCCCCAAGUCUAUAUUAAGUGGGAAACGAAGUGGGAAGGCUUAGACAGCUAGGAUGUUGGCUUAGAAGCAGCCAUCAUUUAAAGAAAGCGUAAUAGCUCACUAGUCGAGUCGGCCUGCGCGGAAGAUGUAACGGGGCUGAAAUAUAGCACCGAAGCUGCGGCAUCAGGCGUAAGUCUGUUGGGUAGGGGAGCGUUCUGUAAGCGGAUGAAGGUUAAUCGAGAGGUUAGCUGGACGUAUCAGAAGUGCGAAUGCUGACAUAAGUAACGAUAAAACGGGUGAAAAACCCGUUCGCCGGAAGACCAAGGGUUCCUGUCCAACGUUAAUCGGGGCAGGGUGAGUCGGCCCCUAAGGCGAGGCUGAAAAGCGUAGUCGAUGGGAAACAGGUUAAUAUUCCUGUACUUGGUAAAGCUGCGAUGUGGGGACGGAGUAGGUUAGGUUAUCGCACUGUUGGAUAUGUGCGUUUAAGUUGGUAGGUGGGAAGUUUAGGCAAAUCCGGACUUCUAUUAAACACUGAGAGAUGAUGACGAGGCUCUAAGGAGCUGAAGUAACUGAUACCACACUUCCAGGAAAAGCCACUAAGCGACAGGCUUUACUAAACCGUACUGAAAACCGACACAGGUGGUCAGGUAGAGAAUACUCAGGCGCUUGAGAGAACUCGGGUGAAGGAACUAGGCAAAAUAGCACCGUAACUUCGGGAGAAGGUGCGCCGGCGUAGAUUGUAAGGGCUAGCCCCUGAAGGUUGAACCGGUCGAAGAUACCAGCUGGCUGCAACUGUUUAUUAAAAACACAGCACUCUGCAAACACGAAAGUGGAGGUAUAGGGUGUGAUGCCUGCCCGGUGCUGGAAGGUUAAUUGAUGGUGUAAUCGCAAGAGAAGCACCUGAUCGAAGCCCCAGUAAACGGCGGCCGUAACUAUAACGGUCCUAAGGUAGCGAAAUUCCUUGUCGGGUAAGUUCCGACCUGCACGAAUGGCAUAAUGAUGGCCAGGCUGUCUCCACCCGAGACUCAGUGAAAUUGAAAUCGCCGUGAAGAUGCGGUGUACCCGCGGCUAGACGGAAAGACCCCGUGAACCUUUACUAUAGCUUGACACUGAACAUUGAAUUUUGAUGUGUAGGAUAGGUGGGAGACUUAGAAGUAGGAACGCCAGUUUCUAUGGAGUCAUCCUUGAAAUACCACCCUUUAACGUUUGAUGUUCUAACGAAGAUUGCGGAACGCGGUCUCGGACAGUGUCUGGUGGGUAGUUUGACUGGGGCGGUCUCCUCCCAAAGCGUAACGGAGGAGCACGAAGGUUUGCUAAUCACGGUCGGACAUCGUGAGGUUAGUGCAAUGGUAUAAGCAAGCUUAACUGCGAGACAGACAAGUCGAGCAGGUACGAAAGUAGGUCAUAGUGAUCCGGUGGUUCUGAAUGGAAGGGCCAUCGCUCAACGGAUAAAAGGUACUCCGGGGAUAACAGGCUGAUACCGCCCAAGAGUUCAUAUCGACGGCGGUGUUUGGCACCUCGAUGUCGGCUCAUCACAUCCUGGGGCUGAAGUAGGUCCCAAGGGUAUGGCUGUUCGCCAUUUAAAGUGGUACGCGAGCUGGGUUUAGAACGUCGUGAGACAGUUCGGUCCCUAUCUGCCGUGGGCGUAGGAGAAUUGGUUGGGGCUGCUCCUAGUACGAGAGGACCGGAGUGGACGCACCACUGGUGUUCCGGUUGUGUCGCCAGACGCAUUGCCGGGUAGCUAAGUGCGGAAGAGAUAAGUGCUGAAAGCAUCUAAGCACGAAACUUGCCAAGAGAUGAGUUCUCCCAAUCUAAGAGAUAGUAAGGGUUGUUGUAGACUACGACGUAGAUAGGUCUGGUGUGUAAGUGUAGUGAUACAUUGAGCUAACAGAUACUAAUUGCCCGAGAGGCUUAACUAU
rnacentral:rRNA from 1 species